rnacentral:misc_RNA from 1 species
UACCUCUCAACCCCCUUUGUACUUUCGGGUACGAAGUGUUAGGGUUGGAUCAUGACGGUUUUUAUAUGUUUGAAUGCUCAAACUCCGUUGAAAUACAAAAAGCUUUGAAAUAUCUCAUAAACGAGCUUGACCCGUUGUCAUACGUUCUUGUAACAACUCCAACGGUUAUCGUUUGAUGCUUUCACUUUAAAAAAGUGAGAGAGAGUGUGUUCAGCUUACCAUAAAUGUAGCCCCUCUUGACUGAGGAACCGGCACCUUUUUUAC